AUGCCCGACCCAAAUAACUGCACACAACGAGAAUACCAAUGUUGGGUGGUUGUAAACAUUCCUGGAAUUCACGUGGAACACGGUCAAGUUUUGACUGACUAUAUUCCACCUCCGACGCCAAUUGCUUACGGUUCUCAACGGUAUGUCUUCUUGGUUUAUAUCCAGCCAAAAGGAAACGUGUCAUUUUCGGAGGAUUAUCUCCCUCCAGUGCCAAAUGAUAUGGUGCGGCAAAACUUUUCGACUGCCGAGUUCACAAAAAAAUAUGCCUACGGAGUGCCGUUUGCAGCUAACUGGUUCCGAAUAAACUGGGGAUCAUUCAACAGAUCUUGAAUGCAAAUGCCUCUCACCAAGAAUGUUCAAAGUUGUUUCUCUUUUUUUGUGCAGUAUAAAAUAAGAAAAUGUAAAUUAUAUUUAGCGCAAAAAUAAAGAGAAAUAAAGACAUCGUUACAUCCUUUUCGUGCUUCUUUUCUUGACCAAUAUUUAAUUAUCAGUUUCGCUUCAAAAUAUUCGAAAAAUAAUCGAUUAUUUCGCAUGUUGAUUACUGCUGUGAGAAAAACACAGUCCGCAAGUGGUCUUCAAUGAAAUGAGCAGAAUGUUAUGAAUUAAAAAAUACCACUUACAUCUUAUUAAUGGAAAAAAUGUCGAUCAUAAAUUAUCAACUUUAUUGUGGCAACGUGCAACGUGAUAACGGACCUAGGACAGUGGCCUGGCGUGUUUUGUGAUACAUCGAUUGAUCUGCCAUUGAAACCUAUUGAUAAGGAUCGCAGAACGGGGUGUUCGCAACGAACACCAUUACAAUCGAUUCUCUACCACAACUUCAAGGCGGAAUAUCACCAAUCGAUUAUUCACGCUACCCCAUUGACCCAGGAAAGUGUCCUGCCGCGCGUUUGUGAAUCACUGACAAUGAGCCAUUUAACCAGUCUUAUCGAAACUGAAACCAUCAAGUGAUGUCUCAAUCUCGAUUGAAGCGUGGCGUGCUUUGCGAUAUAUCGAUUGAUCUACCAUUAAAACCUAUAGAAAUGGUUCGAUAAACAGGGUGUUCGCAGUGAACACCUAGUAAUAAUAUAUUCUUUACUACUGCUUAAAAUGUGGAAAUAUCGAUAAAUCAAUCACUCACGCCUCUCCACUGAUGUCAAUGAGAUUUAACCCUCUUCACCAAGUGUAAUUUUCAUAAGGACAAAGGUUGAUUCUAUAUAAAUUAAAAGAUUUUUUCGUUUAUUUUCAUGAUUGUGUGAAAUUAGGUAUAAUUAAAAAAUUAUGGAUACAAAUUUAAUGCUCAUCAUUUGAUUCCACUCGAAGUGUGUCAUCUUUUCAAAAUCACGUUAUCCCUCGAGGCACCAUAAAAAAUCAAACAAUAGAGCAUGGGCA
rnacentral:lncRNA from 1 species